UUCGUAAAUCAUUUUACGAGCUCCAACCAUCCCGAUCUCGACCUCAGCCCUGCCCUCCUACACCACACUCUCUCUCCUCAAACUAGCUUACACUAUCGCCACUCCUCCGUCACAGUGAAACUCUAGAAGAAAGCAACAGUGUGGAAGGAUUUCAGUGAUGGUUUUAUCUGUAUGCCUAUACUUCAGACGGUGGCCACGGGAAGGCGGUGCCGACACCAUCACAACCUUCUCUCCAAGCUCGAGAAGGAUCCGAAAAUCACAUGGAUGGGUCUCGUCUCUAUCUUCGGCAACGACCUCGACACUGCGACCAGAUCAGACAGUUCAAGGUGACGAUUUUUUUGGUGGUCGUGGCAGCAACUGUGGUAAGGGAUUUAGGGGUGGAGAGGGCUAAGGAUUUGGUGGUAGGUUUGAGGGAGGGGCCGUGGGUUUGGUGGUGGGUUUGUUAGUGUUAGAGCUGCCAUGGUUGUUAUUUGUUACCUCUAUUUUUCUAUUUUAGUGGUGGUGGUUUGGUGGUGGUGGUGGUGGUGUAUGGGUAUGUUAUGGUGUUUGAGUUCUGAAUAUAUAUAUAUUUCAAUAAAGAGAAGCUGAGUGUUAGAGAGAGAAAGUAGAGAUAGUAGGGUUAGGUUUCUGAUGGAGAUGGUUAACUAAGGGCAAAAAUGUCAUUUAAUAUUUUUGAUAUUUUACAAUUUAAAUUAAUAAAAUAUUGAAGGGUAAUAUUGACUUUUCACA